rnacentral:misc_RNA from 1 species
AGCAGCCGCGGUAAUUCCAGCUCCAAUAGCGUAUAUUAAAGUUGUUGCAGUUAAAAAGCUCGUAGUUGAAUUUCGGGACCAAUUUGUUGGUCGUGCCUCGGUACGUACUGGUACUAUUGGUUUCUCCCUUCUGAAGAACCUCGAUGCCAUUAAUUUGGUGUCGUGGGGAAUCAGGACUGUUACUUUGAAAAAUUAGAGUGUUUAAAGCAAGCAUACGCUUGAAUACAUUAGCAUGGAAUAAUGAAAUAGGACGUUUGAUUCUAUUUUGUUGGUUUCUAGGAUCGACGUAAUGAUUAAUAGGGAUAGUUGGGGGCAUUAGUAUUCAAUUGUCAGAGGUGAAAUUCUUGGAUUUAUUGAAGACUAACUACUGCGAAAGCAUUUGCCAAGGAUGUUUUCAUUAAUCAAGAACGAAAGUUAGGGGAUCGAAGACGAUCAGAUACCGUCGUAGUCUUAACCAUAAACUAUGCCGACUAGGGAUCGGAUGAUGUUAAUUUUUUAAUGUACUCAUUCGGCGCCUUAC